UACAGAGACUGCAAGCGUUAUUCGGAUUCACUGGGCGUAAAGGGUGCGUAGGCGGCCGGGUAAGUCUGACGUGAAAUCUUCAAGCUCAACUUGGAAACUGCGUCCGAUACUAUUCGGCUAGAGGAAUGGAGGGGAGACUGGAAUACUUGGUGUAGCAGUGAAAUGCGUAGAUAUCAAGUGGAACACCAGUGGCGAAGGCGAGUCUCUGGACAUUUCCUGACGCUGAGGCACGAAAGCCAGGGGAGCAAACGGG
rnacentral:rRNA from 1 species